GCUAGUCUUCUUGAUUCUUAAAUUCUGUGGAGCUCAAAUAGACAACAAAGCUUGUGGAACUGAUUAAGUGUUAGCAUAAAUAUCUAGCCUUUAUCAUGUUGAGACUCCUUAAUAAAUAUUACUCCCUGUUUUUAUAUUUUUGUUUUUAUAAAGCAGAAAAAUAUUUAUUUUAUUUUAUGCCACCAUAGUGAAUGUACUUAUGGGUUUUAUGCCACUCGUCUACUCACAUGGGGCUUACAGUUUUUUCACAUUUUUAUUUUCUUUCUAGGAUAAUACGAACAUGAUUAACUAAGUAAACUAUUUGAAAUAAUUAAAAGGGAAAGGAUAACUACCAAGUUUACCUCUUGGCAAGGCGUUCGGUGUUUUUAAGUCCUCCGAGCAGGACUCUCCAUUUUCUUAAUCGUCCUGAGGUUCGUUGGGUGGCGUAGUAGGUACUUCCGGCAGCGCCUCCUCUUCAUUUAUAACUAUCUUCUCUCUCCACACCUAACUCGGUGCUACGGUCUCCUCAGGACAGUUAUGUUCAAGUGGUAUGUCUUCAGUCCUUAUCACUUCUCCUUCGUAGUCUACCCAUCCGUCCUUGAUGAUUUGCCUCCUUUGGUUGCGGUUGCGUUGUCUUCUUCUUGUCCUGACCUGCUUCGAGUCUUCAACUAUAUAGUUAGGGUCAGUAAAACAGCGGCAUACCUUCUCAGAGGAGAAGUGUAUGUGGACUUCUCCGGUUCCAAUAUAGAUGAUGGCUUUGAUAGUGCUGAGGAACUGUCUUCCAAGGAUGGUGGGUGGAUCAUACUCAUCUUCUCCCAUGUCAAUGACCUGAAAAUCAUCUAUAGCUGAAUGUAUAUUGGUUGUAGGGGCAUGGUUUCAUGCAGGAGCUGAUAAGUGACUACGACCAUUAUGUUGACGUCAGAUCCGGUGUCGUAGAGUGUCUUCUGAAAAGAGUAUCUGUUGAUUGUGCA
rnacentral:lncRNA from 1 species